rnacentral:rRNA from 1 species
GUCUUUUUGAAGAUAAAAAAAGUCAAGCCUGCCCCCUGAAUUAAUUUUUAAGGGCCGCGGUAUUUUGACCGUGCGAAGGUAGCGUAAUCAUUAGUUUUUUAAUUGAAAUCUUGUAUGAAUGGUUAGACAAAAGAAAAUCUGUCUCUUUAUUAAACAUUGAAUUUAACUUUUAAGUGAAAAGGCUUAAAUAAAUUAAAGGGACGAUAAGACCCUAUAAAGCUUAAUAUAAAAUACUAUUUAACUAAAUUUAUUUUAAUAAAAGUUUUAUAGUAUAGUUUAUUUUAUUGGGGUGAUAAGAGUAAAAUUUUUAUUAACUGCUUAAAAUAAUAAAACAUUUAUGGUUGAAAUAAAAAAAUAAAAGAUCCUAAUUAAAGAUUAAAAGUUUAAGUUACUUUAGGGAUAACAGCGUUAUUUUUUUUGAGAGCACAUAUCGAAAAAAGAGUUUGCGACCUCGAUGUUGAAUUAAAAUUUCUUUAUAGAUGUAGAAACUAUAAAAGUUGGUCUGUUCGACCUUUAAAAUUUUACAUGAUUUGAGUUCAAACCGGCGUGAG